rnacentral:tRNA from 1 species
GCCUUGUAAGCAUAAAUGGUGAUGCAGCUGACUUGUAAUCAGCAGAAAUUGGUUCGAUUCCAAUACGAGGCUCCA